AUAAUAUUAAUUCUCUACAUGUGACCUGACAUCUCUCUGUGACCAACUAAGAUGCCUCACGAAAUUCCUCCUUGACAGAAUACAUGCCUUCACUUCAUGAUGAGUCACUUAAUUCCUCAUGGCCACUGAGUAUCGGCCCCUGAGCCUCCAACCUCCACCAGACUGCAUGGAACACCUCGAGAGAUCUACCGACCCUCACCAGCAAGACAUAGUUGGAAGAUGAGUCGCUGCCCCCAAUUCUCUCCAAUCUUUUGUAGCUUUCCAGAGUCUAGACUGAAGGGUUCAUAGAUGUCUCUGAAAACUAGAGGGAACUAAAAAGUUAAUAACUCUCCCCAGGACAAGCAGGCCAUAAAGAAUCCUCAGAAGCAUGGUCUUGACAGACCUGUCCACUCCAAAAUGAUAAACUAACUUCCCUCAGCUUAGAAAACCAUGAGGGAACAGAAACCGUCUGAUGGGUUAUCCUCCCCAGACAAUUUGGCUAAAAAGCUUAUUUUGAGCAAGGACACAAAUAACCACAGCUCCUUACCUACUUCCCUUAGACCUGCAGCUGGUCCAGUCUGUUUUUCUUAGGAUCCCCCUUAUAAACUUGCACCCUUUCCUGGCCCAGUGCUUUAGCCUUUCAUCCCACGGGAAAGCUGAGGCCCCUCACUGUUUCUCUCAAUAAACUGUAGAGAACAAGUCCAGUGUUUUCUUUUGCUUUUCUCUUAUACUUUCGUUACAGGAACCAUCCCUGGACAGCCGCACUGGACAGAGAGGAGAAUGCACACCAGCGCCUCUUGCUGCUACAAACUCCGGAUGCACUUACCACACUGUACGUCUGGCUUUCCAUGAGUACUGGCUGCCUUUGCAAGCAAGUGCCUUUAACCACUAGGCCAUCUGCCCAGCCCAGGACCUACCAAGGCUCUCAUGAAGGAUUUUACAAGAGACAUCAGUAACUUUGAAUAUCAGCUUCUUUGAAAUGAGGCUUUUGCUGUUACCCUGGACAGGCCAGUUAUUGACAACCCACCAUUAGGACUGCCGAAAUGAGUACCUCAGCUUCAGCAGACCAACUAUUGCCAUCUUUGCAAUUAGCAGGCACCAUGACUUCCCUUCACAACUUGCCCACCAUGCACUUACUUCAGUAAGUAGUCAUUGGCGCAGAUGCCAUCAGCUGGCUUCCAGAGAAGGGUGCCAA